rnacentral:rRNA from 1 species
UACAGAGGAGCCAAGCGUUGUCCGGAUUGACUGGGCGUAAAGCGCACGCAGGCGGAUGCGCGCGUGGGGUGUGAAAUCUGGCCGCUUAACGGCCAGGCGCCAUCCCAUACGGCGCGUCUGGAGUGAUGCAGAGGUCGAUGGAAUUGCCGGUGUAGUGGUGAAAAUGCGUAGAGAUCGGCAGGAACACCCAAGGGGGAAGCCAGCUGGCUGGGCAUUUGCUGACGCUCAUGUGCGACAGCGUGGGGAGCGAACUGG